rnacentral:rRNA from 1 species
UACGUAGGGGGCAAGCGUUGUCCGGAAUCAUUGGGCGUAAAGAGCGUGUAGGCGGCCAGAAAAGUCCGCUGUGAAAACUGGAGGCUUAACCUCCAGCUGUCGAUGGAAACCAUCUGGCUAGAGUCCGGAAGAGGAGAGUGGAAUUCCUGGUGUAGCGGUGAAAUGCGCAGAUAUCAGGAAGAACACCCGUGGCGAAGGCGGCUCUCUGGGACGGUACUGACGCUGAGACGCGAAAGCGUGGGGAGCGAACAGG